rnacentral:rRNA from 1 species
GUGGGGAAUUUUGGACAAUGGGGGCAACCCUGAUCCAGCCAUGCCGCGUGAGUGAAGAAGGCCUUCGGGUUGUAAAGCUCUUUCGGCCGGGAAGAAAUCGCAUGGGUGAAUACCCUGUGUGGAUGACGGUACCGGAACAAGAAGCACCGGCUAACUACGUGCCAGCAGCCGCGGUAAUACGUAGGGUGCGAGCGUUAAUCGGAAUUACUGGGCGUAAAGCGUGCGCAGGCGGUUUGGUAAGACAGGCGUGAAAUCCCCGGGCUUAACCUGGGAACUGCGCUUGUGACUGCCAGGCUAGAGUACGGCAGAGGGGGGUGGAAUUCCACGUGUAGCAGUGAAAUGCGUAGAGAUGUGGAGGAACACCAAUGGCGAAGGCAGCCCCCUGGGUCGAUACUGACGCUCAUGCACGAAAGCGUGGGUAGCAAACAGGAUUAGAAACCCGGGUAGUCC